UUGCUCAAUUCCCCAAACAUUAACCCUAAACUUUUAGAGAAUUAGAGUUCAGAGUGAGGCUAUUGCUUCUUCUUCUUCUACAAUGCUCCAACGCUUGAGAGUAGAGACCAGAGACAGAGUCACCAUCACGAAGAGAGGCAGAAAAUAGAUUAGCAGAGCUUCUUCUUCUCUGACGCCUGAGAAAAUCCGCCGUCCUCCACCGGAGAACAGAGCUUCUUCUUUUCCUUCUCCACCAAACCCGCCACUACACCAUUCUCUUCAUUUGUUAUAGGUCUUCAAUUCAAAUAUUGAUGAAGGAAGAAAGGCAUGUAACUUUUCCUUCAGGCGUAGCUGCUUCUCCUACCGCAGCAAAAGCAGGCUCAACAGCAAGCACAGUCACAGAAUAUUCCCGGCCACCACCACCAGCAAACUUCGAAAAACGAGGAGUGUAGAAGUGUCGGUCCAUCUUGUUGAUUCCCAAUUUUGACACAUCUUACGCCUUCCUCUUUUUUUGCUUCAACAAUUUUCAUAUUAGUUCAUGGAUCACAUUCUACUUUGUUGCUCCAUGAUAUGUAUUCCCGGCAGCUUUUACAUUUGCCAGAGUGCAAUUGCAAGAGUUGAAGGAGAAUCGUGGAAGGAAAGCACAUAGAUUGCACAAGGGCAGAGCAAGUUCUGAAGUCCCUCAGGAUCCUAUCACAGCUUCAGUGGCUUGAAAUUACGAC